rnacentral:rRNA from 1 species
UACGGGUGGAGCAAGCGUUGUUCGGAUUUACUGGGUUUAAAGGGUGCGUAGGUGGAUAAUUAAGUCAGUGGUGAAAUCUUCAGGCUUAACCUGGAAACUGCCAUUGAUACUAUUUGUCUUGAAUACUUUGGAGGUAAGCGGAAUAUGUCAUGUAGCGGUGAAAUGCUUAGAUAUGACAUAGAACACCAAUUGCGAAGGCAGCUUACUACACAGUAAUUGACACUGAGGCACGAAAGCGUGGGGAUCAAACAGG